rnacentral:rRNA from 1 species
GAUCCUGGCUCAGAGUGAACGCUGGCGGUAGGCCUAACACAUGCAAGUCGAACGGCAGCACAGUAAGAGCUUGCUCUUAUGGGUGGCGAGUGGCGGACGGGUGAGGAAUACAUCGGAAUCUACCUUUUCGUGGGGGGAUAACGUAGGGAAACUUACGCUAAUACCGCAUACGACCUCGGUGAAAGCAGGGGACCGUUCGGGCCGUUCGUCGCGGAGUAGAUGAGCCGACUGUCGGAGUUAGCUAGUUUGGUCGGGGGUAAAGGGGAACCCCG